UACGUUUUGGACAGUUAACUACACCCUAAAGCAUAGUUAAGGCCACAUAAAAAAAAUUACUUGUUUAGCGUCCCCGCCCGACCUGAUAAAAGUCCCCGACCUUCAAUUUUUUUUUUUUUUUUUUUUUUAAAUCUGUCCGAGUUUAGUGGAAAAACUCUAUAAAAAAGACCGUUUUACUUGAAAAAAUGGUGAUUUUAUUCUUCUGGGAGCUAUGUAAUACGUUUACACAAAGUUUCCUUCCCAGAAUAUGCCUGUUCGCAGCUAAAGUGUUCGCGCGUGACCGCCAAACGGUAAUUUUCUGUUUUAUUAAAAACAUGAACGGGAAGUUGAAAACAUGAACGGAUUUUGAAAGAAUUAAAGUGAGUUUUGACUGUGGUAAUAUACUGGAUUUCCUGCAUUUAGCAGAAUUUUGUGUUGCAUUUUACGGAAAAAAAAAAAAAAUCCGUCCGCCCGACCUAGAAAAAUUAAAAUGGGUGGACGCUAAACAAGUAAUUUUUUUUAUGUGGCCUAACUUUAACUACUUUUUAACUGCAGUUAAGGCUAACUACACUUUUAUACAACCGGCUUAACUACGUGAUUAAAGUUAACUAUUUUUUAAGGCUUUUUAGCUACUUUUUAACUGCAGUUAGCGCUAACUACGUUUUUAUACAACCGGCCCCAGUAUUGUAACUGAAAUUCCUGGAAAUUGGACGGAAAGUUGCAUAAGGUAAGGCCCAUUGACAUAUGUUUUUUCACAGUUAUUAUUAAUGUAAAUAUUUUAAGAAAUGUUUAUAGUUUGUAACGAGAGAGUGCCUCGCAUGGAACUUUGAGGGCAUUUUCAUAUGGGGAAAAGUUAUUCCUGUUAGUGAGAAAACAUUUCGACUAGCCAAAUAAUUUUAUUCUGUUCACAUGGAGAAACCGGCGUUAUCCCGCUUAAGCUGGCUCAAUACAGUUUUUUAAAAAAUGGAAAAUUCACGAUUUAGAUGCGUAUUUUUGGACAAUUAUUACUUGUUGAUAAACAAAAAGUGCCUUACUUAUAUCAUGGAUAAUAAAAUAAAUGGAUAUGAAACUUCUGACGUCAUUGACUGCAUCCUUGUUGAAAAACGUGACGUCACGCGUAUUGCGAAUGUUACCAAAGUUCUCGGCAUUUUUGUUGUUUUGCUAUAUUUUCCACUUUAAAAGGGUGAUCUUGAA